ACGCGAUCACCCCGCGACAAAAAUACGAGUUACGCGCGGAAUUUAAUGAGUUCGUUUUAUGUGUAAAAUAUAAUUAGUUACAAAAGUUUUUGCGCUGAGAAAAUUAUUUACGCACCUAGAAUUUUAUUAGGGACUUGUUUACCGGCACAGGGUCGAGUAUAAAAAGACUGGAGCUAUUUAUUUUCCAACCAUUAGAUGAGGGAACAUCUACGGAGUGUUAUAUUUAUUUAAGUUUCCCCGAGGUUCUUCACAGUGAUAAAUCGCGUACCUACAUACAAACAAGAUGCAAGGCAAAUACUUUCUUGUAGUGCUAAUGAUAUCGUUGAACCACCACAUUGCUUCAUCGCACAUCUUAACAUCGGCGUACAUGGAUAUGUCUUUACCAACUUGUAUGAGAAUACUAACGUACACUGUGAUGAACGAUUUAUGCCCCACAUACGGAGCUUAUGGCGACUACUCUUCCGAAGAGGUCAACAUGCAGCCAAUCCCCAAAGAACUGACAUUAAGACAAUGGGAACACAGAGAAAGCGUCAUCAAAAAGUGUUGUACAAAGCCUUGUUCUUUGCCAGAACUAUUGUCGGCUUGCUAAUGCAUUCGAUCUAUUUAGUUACAAAAUACCGCGAUUAUCACGAUCUAGGUUAGCUAAAUUAUUUUAUGUUUGAUGUUUAAGGACUACUUAGUAGAGUAGGCUAGAGAAAACUAUCAAUAUUGAACUUGCUUGCCAAUCUUCUUAAAGGUUGAAGUGGUCUUUUUCUAUUGAGAAGUAGAUAUCUCACACCGUAUGAAAAUUUGUUUCCUUCAAAUUCCAGCAGAGGUCUCCAAUAAUCGGUUUUAGUUAAUAAGCAUAGCACACCCAUUUUGACACACGUUUGUGCUAUAAUUAUGUUUGAUAAAUAUGCAUAAAAUUCUGAAGGAAAUCCCUGGGAAAACUUGAUACGAAGUCUUACUUAGAAUGGUGUAUUAAAAUAAGCUUUAUUUAAUGUUUCUUUAUAACUUUUCUUUAUAAGUUAUUUACCCGUGACAACGCUGCUUUAAAACACAUUGCCCACCAAUUUAAUAUUUAUUUUAAUUAGAAUAACUAGUUGCGUACCUAAUUUUCAAUUUUAGUUGGUAAGUUUUUAUUAAUAUGUUUAUUUUUAGUUUCAAUGACUGUUGUAAAUUAUAUUAUACUGAAAGAA